GAGCUGGAGAAGUGAAACUGGGGACAGGGGAAUCCCCAGCCCUGGGCUUCGCCACCCAGACCUCACCGCCUGGGGACUAAGACUUUGAACCCAGUGCUGCGGGAUGGAGCGCUGUGUGUCAUGGUGUCUCUGAGCCGCCUAAGGCCAACUGCUCCUCAGGUGCUGUCGGAGUCCUGGAGGGUGCGGGGCUGCUGUGGACACCGGCAUCCGGAGAUGAAACCUAGACUCCCCAGUGUGUACCUCUGCUGUGAGAACCACCUUCUAUCCAGUGUCCACACUGCACAGGCCUGAGGAACUAAGAAGCCAACUGUUAUCAGAUCCAGUGUCCCACAAGUCUGUGACAUUCAUCUCCCUCAUCUCAUCAGCUCAUAGAGUGCGAGUGAAGGAAAGAGAGAGAGAGAGAGAGAGAGAGAGAGAGAGAGAGGUUAUGUAACUUCUACCACAUGGUCACUAUUAUUCUUCUUUAUAGUUAGUUAUUCUUCCUCUCUUACUGUGAUUUAUUCACUAAAGCAACUGCACCAUGGGAGUGUGUGCACACAGGGAAACGUGGAGUGUAGACAGGGUCAGUGCCCUGCUGUAUUUGGUCUCCACAGGGGUCUCUUCCCAUGGAGAAGGGGUCUACUGUGCUGAGACAAUGACCCAGAUCCACACGGAUAAUCUCAGGACUAUGGAAUGAGAUCUGUGUAAAACACAAGCACCUGGAGCCACAGAUGAUCAUCUGGGAAGAAACACUAGGAGUCUGAGUGUAAGCACCAGGCUGUGAAGACACGAUCCUGAGUGAAGAGGCAAAGUCUCUGUUUACAGGGAGGAAGCAGAUCCAUGGAAACCAAAAGAGGCUGCAAAUCCUGGAACCAGGGAACUUUCUAGAACUCUGAAGCAGCAACUAAAACAUCAGCAGUGACGGAAUGUUCUCUUCAGUCUUCAUGGCUGUCUUCUUGGUGGCCAGAGCGACUUUACCGUGGAGACCUGGCUUUGUACCUCCCGCUGGUUAACUGGAUUUCACUGGGCUGAUGGAGUUGUGCAGAAUGUUUGGAAAGUCUGCCCCUUCAUCUUCUCCUCCAGCUUCUCAGAUUGUCCCUAGUUCCCUUGUCUUCAGGUGUUUGGAGCUCAGUGUAACUAGCCCAGGCUGGCCCAGAACUCAUCAUGUAGACCAGGCUGGUUUCAAGGUUGUGGCGAUUCUUCUGGCUCUGCCAACCAGAUCCUAGGACUGCAGGAAUUCGAGACUAUGGCUGGCUUCUCCCUCUUUUCAUUUCUAUUGUAUGGGGGGAAGCUAUAGGGGGCUAAGCUCUGCCAUCACCUCCUAUUUCCAUCACUCAUUUCCUGUGAGUUUUAAGCUUUCCCAAAUAAAACACUAGGUAGCCUUGGCUGGCCUGGAACUCACUCUGUAGACCAGGCUGCCCUCAAACUCAGAGAUCCACCUGCCUCUGUCACCUGAGUGCUGGAGUUAAAGGCGUGCCCCACUACGCCCUGUUAAUUUUUACGUGUGGGUGUUUCGCCUGCACAAGUCAGUGCAUCACAUGUUCCUGGUGACUGCAGAGGCCAGAAAAGGGCUUCAGACCCCCUGAAACCAGAGUUAC